AGCUUUGCGCAGUGGCAGUAUCAUAGCCAAUGAGGUUUAUCCGAGGCGCAAUUAUUGCUAAUUAAUAAAUAAUAAAAUGGGGACUCUUUUAGUGCUUAUAAAGGUUUACUAACC
rfam:Canis lupus familiaris chromosome 5, whole genome shotgun sequence.